rnacentral:rRNA from 1 species
ACAGCAGUAGCCGCGGUAACACGAAGGGUGCAAGCGUUAAUCGGAAUUACUGGGCGUAAAGCGUGCGUAGGUGGUGGUUUAAGUCCGUUGUGAAAGCCCUGGGCUCAACCUGGGAAUUGCAGUGGAUACUGGGUCACUAGAGUGUGGUAGAGGAUAGUGGAAUUUCCGGUGUAGCAGUGAAAUGCGUAGAGAUCGGAAGGAACAUCUGUGGCGAAGGCGACUAUCUGGGCCAACACUGACACUGAGGCACGAAAGCGUGGGGAGCAAACAGGAUUAGAGACCCCUGUAGUCCCUGUCUCUUAUAC